CCUACGGGUGGCUGCAGUGCGGAAUAUUGGUCAAUGGGCUUACGCCUGAACCAGCCAAGUCGCGUGCGGGAAGACUGCCCUACGGGUUGUAAACUGCUUUUAUACGGGAAUAACGCGCCUUACGUGUAGGGCUUUGCAUGUACCGUAUGAAUAAGGACCGGCUAAUUCCGUGCCAGCAGCCGCGGUAAUACGGAAGGUCCGGGCGUUAUCCGGAUUUAUUGGGUUUAAGGGGAGCGUAGGCCGCAUGUCAAGCGUGCUGUGAAAUGUCCGGGCUCAACCCGGGCCUUGCAGCGCGAACUGGCGUGCUUGAGUCCGCGGAAAGCAGGCGGAAUGCGUCGUGUAGCGGUGAAAUGCUUAGAUAUGACGAAGAACCCCGAUUGCGAAGGCAGCUUGCUGCAGCGGAACGGACGCUGAUGCUCGAAAGCGCGGGUAUCGAACAGGAUUAGAUACCCUGGUAGUC
rnacentral:rRNA from 1 species